rnacentral:rRNA from 1 species
GAUGAACGCUGGCGGCGUGCCUAAUACAUGCAAGUAGAACGCUGAAGGAGGAGCUUGCUCUUCUGGAUGAGUAGCGAACGGGUGAGUAACGCGUAGGUAACCUGCCUGGUAGCGGGGGAUAACUAUUGGAAACGAUAGCUAAUACCGCAUGACAACAGUUAUUGCAUGAUAACUGUUUAAAAGGGGCAACUGCUCCACUACCAGAUGGACCUGCGUUGUAUUAGCUAGUUGGUGAGGUAACGGCUCACCAAGGCGACGAUACAUAGCCGACCUGAGAGGGUGAUCGGCCGCACUGGGACUGAGACACGGCCCAGACUCCUACGGGAGGCAGCAGUAGGGAAUCUUCGGCAAUGGACGGAAGUCUGACCGAGCAACGCCGCGUGAGUGAAGAAGGUUUUCGGAUCGUAAAGCUCUGUUGUAAGAGAAGAACGAGUGUGAGAGUGGAAAGUUCACACUGUGACGGUAUCUUACCAGAAAGGGACGGCUAACUACGUG